CUUGAAAUUUGCUUUUAGCUAGCUUUAGUGUGUUAGCAUACAAUUUCUUACCUUUCCCUUCCCUCUCUGAGGGAACAAGGCUCCUGCCCUGAAGAAGUCAGAUCCUAAGACAAAGACAAGAGUUUCCCAUUACAACUGCAGUUCAAGAGGCUCUACAGUCAGGGCAAGUUGGAAGGGAUGAAAACUGAAAGGAAAUAAGGCUGGACUAUGAAAACAGUUGCUACUGAUUUCUGUCUUCCUUGCUGACUGGUAUCUGAGGAUGCUUGGGCAUAUAACAAAAGGGUAGGAUAAUUCUUAGAGUAAAGAAUGACCAGGCAAUACUCUUUGAAAAUUGGAGACCAUUUGCAGCUGCUCUCUGCUGAGGAAAGUGAAUAAUAGGGUGCCCUCAAGGAAUUUCAAAGGACACCCGAAGCUCAGUUUCCUAAUUCUGAAGCUCAGUCUCCUAUUUCUGCACAAGAAAGCUCUUCAUAAAAAGGAGAUUCCGACAUAAACACAGGGCUGUACUCUCCAUACAAGAACUGUGUGGGAGGAUCUUUGUUUGGGAUUUUUUUCUAAAGGGUGAUCUCUGGC
rnacentral:lncRNA from 1 species